rnacentral:tRNA from 1 species
GCAGGCGUGAUGGAAUUGGUAGACAUGCUAGACUUAGGAUCUAGUGCCGCGAGGCGUGGGGGUUCGAGUCCCUUCACCCGCACAA